CGCCCAGCAAAGAGCACAACACAACCCUUGGCUGCUGUGUUUGCACACUCUUCACCCUGCUCCUGCCCACUCUGCUUGUCACCUGCCCCCUGAUAACCCCAUCACUCCUGAAAGAUCCUGAGUGCCUGGAUUUUGUCAUCCAGCCCUGCAGGAUGCUCCCAUUUGUCCUGAGGAAGGCUGUCCCAGACAGAGAGGAGGAGAUGGAGGUAGAUGCAAAGAUUGAUAUGGAGGAGGAGAUGGAGGUGGAUGUGGAGGUGGAAGAAGAGAUGGAAGUGGAUGUGGAAGAGUCCAUUGAGGACAUGGACAUUGAUUAAGAAGGUGCGAUGGACAUCAUGGACAGAGAUGUCACCCUUUUGUACAUACCUUUUACAUUUUGUUGUUGUCUUAUAUGUUUUAGGGCUUUUUGUCUUCUGUAAAUAUGUUGCAUCUAUUUUUGCUAGAUAGGUUCUUAUGUAUAUAUGUUCUAUCAAUUGUUGUUGUUACAAAUAUUCUUACAAUGUAAAUGUGUUCUGUAUUUUUGCUGCUGUUAUUCUGUAAUAAACAAAUUUUAUUUUUCACACCCCAGUUCUCCUUGCAUUUGCUUCAGGCACAGGCAGCAUUUUGCAAAGUUGUAGUUUCCACUUGCUCCAGGUUCCCAGGGCUGGAGGUCCCUGGCAUAGCCACCCCAGGAGUGGGGGUCCCUGUGCACAGAGGGAUCCCACUGACAGAGCCCUUCAAGCCCUGAGGAGAGAUGACAGCCCUUCCCAGAAAAACAUAGUUGUUAAACAGAUAUUCAGUUGGAGAGUUACAGAACUGGCUCAGAAGAACCAGUGUUUGUUGAAGACCUGCAAAUGCCAUGGAAGAUGAGAGUGCCUUGAGACCAGAAGAGACCAGCUGGAGCUCCAGGCACUGCUGAUGAUUGGCACAGCUAAGCCUGUGGGAAACUUGCAUGGCUUCAGCCCUCUCCCUGCUUAUAGAUAGCUCCCUCCCUCCAGCCCUCAGACUCUGCCCAUCCCUUCUUUUUCCCUCCACUCUCCCUCCCUUUUCACGGCUCUUUCCCUCUAGUCCUCAGAUCCUGCCCUUCCCCUUUUCCCCACCCAGCUCAUUCCUUUGCUUCGCCUUCUAUUAAUAAACAGUUUGGCUUCUUCAC